CUGACACCACUGUGGACCACUUUGCACCACCUCCCCCUUUGGAGUUUUGUCCCAACAAAUUGCAAAGGAGCCCCGGAAAAUGGUGGACGCCGCCAGGCAGAUGCUCGACGAGCUGAUGGGCAGGAAUCGCAACCUGCAUCCCUCGGAGGCGGGCGCCAAAGUCAAUUGGGAGGAUCCAGAGUUCUGUCAGUUCUACAACGUUAAGUUCUGUCCGCACGAUCUAUUCAUAAAUACCCGCGCGGACCUGGGCCCCUGUGCCCGCAUCCACGACGAGGAAGCCCGACAUCUCUACGAGGAUGCUCGACCCUCGCAGCGGAAGCGCCAGUACGAGGAUGAGUUCCUGCGCUUUUGCAAUGUGAUGCUGCACGAUGUGGAUCGCAAGAUCCAGAAAGGCAAACAGCGUUUGCUCCUAAUGCAAAAGGAUCAGCCCAAUGUACCGGCACCCCUAAGCAGGCAUCAAGAGCAACUGGCCAACCUGACGGCCAGGAUCAAUAAGCUGCUCUCGGAGGCGGAGGAAGCCGGCAUUCGGGGGGAUGUGGACCAGGCCCAGGAUCUGAUGACCCUGUGCGAGGAGCUCAAGGAGGAGAAGGAGCAGUUGGUGCAGCAAUACGAGUCCAACCACAAGGCCAUCAGCAGCAUCAGCCUGACCAAGUCACCGGAGGAUGAGCUGCAGCAGCAAACCCGCAGCAGUCCUGUCACAAAUCCCAGCGAGGAAACUCCAACAACUCCUCUACCAGCCGCCAUCACCCCCGAUGAAGCGCCGGAUGCAGCGCCAAGUUCUGCGCCACCUGCAGCGGCAGUAAACACAUCGACAGACGAGGCCGCCGAAGCUGCUGGCUCAGCCAGCGAGGACAAAACGGAGAAGAGCGAUGGCAAGGCGGCUGGCUGGUCGCACGACGCCAUGCCCGAGAAACAGAUGAAGGUGUGCGAGAUCUGCGGCGCAUUCCUGAUCGUCGGCGAUGCACAGCAGCGGAUUGAGGACCAUUUGAUGGGCAAACAACAUUUGGGCUACUCCAAGCUGCGCAACGCAGUGGCCGAGAUCAACGAGGCGCGCCAGAAGGAGCGCGAGCAGGAGGAACGACGUCGGCGCGAUGGCCGAGUGCAGCGCUUCCACUCCUACGAAAGCAGACGCGAGCCACGCAGCGAGUACCGCGAGCGAAGUCGCGACUAUGUUCAGAAUCGCCAGCCCUCGGAUCGGCGUCACCAUCACCAUAAGUCACACCACAGCUCCCAUCACUCGUACUCGCGCAGUGGCGGAGGUGGUGCUGGUGGUGGCGGCGGCGGAGGAGGUGGUGGAGGUGGUGGCGGUGGUGGCGGCAGCAGUCGGAGCAACCGGAGCCACCAUAAUCACAACCAUAAUCACUACCGCCACGACAGCCGCGAACGACAUUGCCGCAGUCGGAGUCGCAGUCGCUACUAGAGACCAAAAAUAAUAGAAACCAAGUGAAUAGCAAACCAAGAACACAAGUAAAUAAUUAGAGAGAGUCCAGGAGCAGUUCCCAAAGUCCCAUACCGAAAGCGUACAACUAAAUAUGAUCGAGUUCAACACGACACACAAUCUCUCGCCCAUCUACGAUCUGCGAUCUUCAGUCUUCUUUGUCUUAUGUGUUCGCAAAUCCGCAAUCUGCAAGUCCGCAAUCCGUAAGCACCAGCUGCCGUGGCCACGGGCGGCAGCAUCGAGGUAUCCCAAUAAAACAAAAAAAACCAAAAUCAUUAACACAAUUUCCAAAAAAAAAAAAUAAUAAUAUGUAUCAAAAAACAGUUAGAAAGAAACAGUAUCUGAGCUGGCAGUAACGAGUGCGCUGAGAAGCCGCCAUCUGAGGAAUGGAGCCCCAAGGCUUCUACACCUAUAUAUAUAUGGAGAGAGAAGAGAGAGAGAGGAAGAUAUAUGAGAAAGAAGAACCAACCAGGUAACUUCUAUGCCACACCUCCCCACAUAAAUGUUUCUUCACGACAGACAAGGCGAAAUCCGCAAUCCAAAGUCCGAAAUCUGGGAUACGAGAUCCAUAAAACGCUAUCCGGAAUUCAACGAUCAUCAACGAACGAUCAGUGAUCAGAGAAAGAGAGAGAGAGAGCUGAGUGCAAGAGAACGCCAAGAGCCACUGAGCGCAGAGAGAGAGAGAGAAAGAAAGAGAGAGGGAGAGAGAGAGACACUCGUGUAGAACUGUAUUAGGCAUAAUACAAAACGAGGUGAAUUUCCAUUUCUCUCAUCUACUUAUAACUAUAUUAUAUACAUAUAUAUCUAUAACUCUACCCAUUACUUCACCCCAUCAUCCUUGGAUCAAAAUUAAUAAUGCAUUGAAAACGCCGGGUUGUUAAAGUCAGUUAAUGAACGAUAUACUAUGGAGCAAUUUGAACCGUACAUACAUAUACGAAAUGUAUGGUUGCUUUAGUUUCUGUGUCCGCGCAGGAUGAGCUCCUAUUUUUUCCGGCCAUUCCUGCGAGGAACACAACUUCUUCCUGUCUCCCAGCAUCCCCAAUAAUACCCACUAACCUAACCCAUCAAGGCACAUUCUUAUUGGUUUCCUACCUAUCACCUAGCAAAUUAAUCAAUUGAAUUGAGUUCCCAUCGGGCAAGCAAAGUUAAGGCAAAUUUACGAAUGCAGAUUUAAGUAUAUAGUGUAACCAAUCAAUAAAACUCGAUCGAUCGCCUUUAGUCAUGUAAAGAUGUUUUUAAUUAUGAAUUACGAUAUGAGUAAGGAUUAACACAUUCUAUUGAGAGACUCGCAAUAACUUUCUAAUAAAGAUCAAAGUAAAUCCCGAAAAAGAA
rnacentral:misc_RNA from 1 species